GAUGGAUUGCCGCCAACACAAAGUCCUAUAAAAGCCUUGCCCUCUUCCAAAUUUCUUCACACUUCAUUUCAUUCCUCAAUCUCUCUCAUUCAGAGUUUCGCGUUCAACUGGUUUGUUCUUCUUCCCUUUCAUUUCCAAAUUCUUUUUCUGCUUUCACGUCGAAGCUCGAUUUCUUUUUUCACGAAUUCGUCUUUUUCUUGUAUUGCCUUCGGAAAAGGAAAAAAAAAAAAGGAACUUGAUUUAUUGGGGGUUUUGGGAAUGGGUGUGUGCAGGAGUCAUGAUGAAAUUUUCAAACUUUUUGGUUUCUUGUUGUGGAAGAACAUUGUAACUUAAAGUUCAUUCAGGGUUCCGUCAGUAACGACUGAAUCUACUAACUUUGUUGCCUGAAUUUCCUUGUUUUUGUGCAAAUGGGGCUCCUANAAUCAAGUCUACAAUGCCAGGAAAGCCUAAUUCGGAUCCGCGUACACUCUCAUGUGUUCUAGUCUCCGAGACUGAAGAAAAACUGGAUUCUCUGAAUCACGAAGAAUUGGAUGNUAAGAAUCACGAAGAACUAGAUUCCAAGAAUCACAAAGAACGUUCCGGUAAUCACGAAAAAGAAGGUUCCAUGAAUCACGANNNNN
rnacentral:lncRNA from 1 species